rnacentral:rRNA from 1 species
CAGGCCUAACACAUGCAAGUCGAGCGGAAACGACACUAACAAUCCUUCGGGUGCGUUAAUGGGCGUCGAGCGGCGGACGGGUGAGUAAUGCCUAGGAAAUUGCCUUGAUGUGGGGGAUAACCAUUGGAAACGAUGGCUAAUACCGCAUAAUGCCUACGGGCCAAAGAGGGGGACCUUCGGGCCUCUCGCGUCAAGAUAUGCCUAGGUGGGAUUAGCUAGUUGGUGAGGUAAUGGCUCACCAAGGCGACGAUCCCUAGCUGGUCUGAGGGGAUGAUCAGCCACACUGGAACUGAGACACGGUCCAGACUCCUACGGGAGGCAGCAGUGGGGAAUAUUGCACAAUGGGCGAAAGCCUGAUGCAGCCAUGCCGCGUGUAUGAAGAAGGCCUUCGGGUUGUAAAGUACUUUCAGUUGUGAGGAAGGGGGUGUUGUUAAUAGCAACAUCUCUUGACGUUAGCAACAGAAGAAGCACCGGCUAACUCCGUGCCAGCAGCCGCGGUAAUACGGAGGGUGCGAGCGUUAAUCGGAAUUACUGGGCGUAAAGCGCAUGCAGGUGGUUCAUUAAGUCAGAUGUGAAAGCCCGGGGCUCAACCUCGGAACUGCAUUUGAAACUGGUGAACUAGAGUACUGUAGAGGGGGGUAGAAUUUCAGGUGUAGCGGUGAAAUGCGUAGAGAUCUGAAGGAAUACCAGUGGCGAAGGCGGCCCCCUGGACAGAUACUGACACUCAGAUGCGAAAGCGUGGGGAGCAAA